GACGGGUUGGAGCAACUCAUGUCUGGAAGUCUUCGUCAGACUCCCGUGGAACGCCGACCUGUAAGGGGUGGUAGGAAAAGGAGGCCGAGAGUGACAGGACCAGAGAGUGGCAUCAUGGACGUCCAAAGAUGACCUCAAGCAAGAGGAGUAUAUGGGCUGUCCUGCGUGUUAUUCAGUAGCAUCCCUGGGCUGUACCCACCGAUGACGACAGCAUCCCCUCCUUCCUCUUCAGCUGUGGCAACCAAAACCUGCCGAACAUUCCCCUGCGGGGGGAAAGCAUCCUCUGCCAAGGACCACUGCUCUCCCCCCAUGCCAGCAGCACCCUGACCUGAUUACUGAAGCCGGACACCCAGUGGACGUCUUCUCAGCUCAGUCUUCUUCAAGCUUGUACUGGCUGUGCACGGACCCUCAUUCUUCCGUGUGUGUUUUAGUGAGCCUCCCGGUCGCUGGGGCGCUGAGAGGAGCUACACUGAGUUUAUAGAU